rnacentral:rRNA from 1 species
CCUACGGGGCGCAGCAGUGAGGAAUAUUGGUCAAUGGGCGGGAGCCUGAACCAGCCAAGCCGCGUGAAGGAAGAAGGCGCCAAGCGUCGUAAACUUCUUUUGUCGGGGAACAAAGGGCGCCACGUGUGGCGUUGUGAGUGUACCCGAAGAAAAAGCAUCGGCUAACUCCGUGCCAGCAGCCGCGGUAAUACGGAGGAUGCGAGCGUUAUCCGGAUUUAUUGGGUUUAAAGGGUGCGUAGGCGGAAUAUCAAGUCAGCGGUAAAAAUUCGGGGCUCAACCCCGUCGUGCCGUUGAAACUGAUGUUCUUGAGUGGGCGAGAAGUAUGCGGAAUGCGUGGUGUAGCGGUGAAAUGCAUAGAUAUCACGCAGAACUCCGAUUGCGAAGGCAGCAUACCGGCGCCCAACUGACGCUGAAGCACGAAAGCGUGGGUAUCGAACAGGAUUAGAUACCCUAGUAGUC